rnacentral:rRNA from 1 species
AACGAACGCUGGCGGCGUGCUUAACACAUGCAAGUCGAACGGUAAGGCCCUUCGGGGUACACGAGUGGCGAACGGGUGAGUAACACGUGGGUGAUCUGCCCUGCACUUCGGGAUAAGCCUGGGAAACUGGGUCUAAUACCGGAUAGGACUCCUGGCUUCAUGGUUGGGGGUGGAAAGCUUUUGCGGUGUGGGAUGGGCCCGCGGCCUAUCAGCUUGUUGGUGGGGUAAUGGCCUACCAAGGCGACGACGGGUAGCCGUCCUGAGAGGGUGACCGGUCACACUGGGACUGAGAUACGGCCCAGACUCCUACGGGAGGCAGCAGUGGGGAAUAUUGCACAAUGGGCGCAAGCCUGAUGCAGCGACGCCGCGUGAGGGAUGACGGCCUUCGGGUUGUAAACCUCUUUCAGCUAUGACGAAGCGCAAGUGACGGUAGUAGCAGAAGAAGGACCGGCCAACUACGUGCCAGCCGCCGCGGUAA